rnacentral:lncRNA from 1 species
CCGCGCCCACACCCGCGCUCGCACCCGCGCGCCGGCCCUGCCCCCUCGCGCCUCCGCCCGGGCCCCAGACCCUGGGGGCAGAGGGCAGAGGGCAGAGGUCAGAGGCCGCGGGGAGGAACCCCCCUGUUGCUUCCGCCUCCCGGGGCGCAGGCGCUGGGCGCGGCGGGGAAGGGACUCGGCACUGGGGAAACCCGGAGUUUCAGCCAGGGUCCCAGGGCUUCCUUCCCGGGUUCCUGCCGGAAAACUUUUCUCCUCCGCCCGGAAGCCUCGAUGGGGCAGUGAGAUCGCGGGGCGAGGUGGGAGUGUGGGAGGGGGCCGCGGGCAGAGAGCGGGAGUCCGGCUGGGUGGGAGAUCUCCUGAGCCGAAGCUGGGUCUCGCCCCAGCGUGGCGCCACCGACCCGCAGGCUUUUCCUGCUCUGCAGAUGGAGAGACACAGGGACGCUCCUCAGGUGGCUGCCCUGGGCUGCCAGCCUGUCAGUGGGAGGGGAGGGUGCAGACAAGAGGCCCCUGUUUCCGAAACCCCUCUGUCCCCAAAGCUGCGACAGCAGAAGACACUUAGGCGGCCUGAGGGGUUGGUGAACCACAGAGGAGCUCAGCUUCGCCUGGUCUCCAGCUCCCGGUGGCGGUGGCGUGUCCUUAAUGCUGCUGGCUUUGAACUGGACUGAGAACUAUUUACCACACAAACACCACCAUUUCAAUCCCGGAGAAUGCCUGUUUUCCCUAGGGUGACCUGGCCGGGGUAACAAACACUUGUUCUCUAAUUCCACGGUCAGCCUUGACUUAAUUGAGCCUGUCCUGCUCUGGCCUGCCCUGUGCUCAGGAAGCUGGCGGUCCCCCUCAGUGGAUCUUCACCCACAGGGACAACCUGCUGCAGACCGGGUAGGAGGGAGGCAGGGGCCUCUUCCCCUCUCCUUCCUGGCCUGGCCCCACACCCACCAGUGUUGGUUUCACUCUGUGGCUACGAUUCUUCCUGGGUGCCCUUUCCAUUGCACAACUCCUCUAGGCUCUACGAACAGAACUUCUCCCCGCCCCCAAGCCUCUUAGGGUGAGACAUGUUGUCGGUCUGCCAUUGUUGCUGGUCCCUAAAUAGCAGCACCCUUUGAAGGAUCCUUGAACCAUGACCACACCGCAACAAAGAGUCCUUCAUCAAACUCGCUUCCAAAUCCCCUCCCAAGAACACCUUCAGUUUCCUGCAAGAACCCUGACUGCUGAAGCCGGAUUUUGACUAAGCUUCUACCUUGUAAACCGUGACUGUGGGAUUGGGGUCGAGGCGCAAUCAGAGGUUGUAUAAGGCACUAGAUCAAGGCUGCCUGUCUGUCAGGAGUGUCUGCUUUAUUCAGUAGUAAAUGUGAAUUGUUUUUCAUUCUGUUGUGAAUACUGUUGGUUGACAAUGCAGCAGCCAUGCCCUCUCUAUCCUUGCUGGUUCAGGUAUCCACUCUGUGUGGCUAAGGGUAAACUCUGUCUCUUGAGAAAAUCUUGGUAACUCCAUUUCUCUUUCCAACAAUUGGCUUCAAACAAGCUCAAGUCAAUGAGUCCCAACAGGAAGCCUGCUGGGGGUUGUCUGGCAAAGGUUUUCUCACUCCUACAGGAACAUAAAGAGGAAAUGCUCCUUUUUCCCUGGUGAAUGUUGCAUUCCCUGUCUGGAUGCAAUGCCUGGUGCUCCGCAGCCCUUUGCACUUAUAAGAGAAGGUGGCCGGAAGAGCAUCUUCACCCUGGGGUGGCCGCCUGGGAAGAUGAGAAGAGCAGGAGUCCUUGGUGGCACAACCAGGCAAUUCACCAAAAUCCUGCUGCCCUCACCUGGAAUUUCCUGCUAUGAGAGACGUCUCCGUUUAAACCACAUGAGCUGGAUUUUCUGUUUCUAACACAUGUCAGCAUCUUCACGGUAAAUCUAAGAAAAAAAAAUCAGGGCUAUUAAAAAACAAAGUCCAACUCACCCUGUGCUAUGGUCUGAAGGUGUCCUCCCAAAUUCACACGUGGAAACCUAAUCCCAAAUACCUGAUACCUAAUCCCAAAUAUUAAGAGGUGGGGGCCUUGGGAGGUGGUUAGGAAUGGGAUUAGUGCCCUUUAAAACUGAGGUUUUUGGGAGCCUGCUUGCCCUUUCUGCCAUAUGAAGAUGCUUAGAAGAGGCCUUCUAUGAAGCAGAGAACUUUUCUCAGAUGCCAGAUCUGCUGGGACCUUGAUCUUGGAUUUCUCAGCCUUCAGAACUGUGGGAAGCAAACUUCUGUGUGUAUGAAUAGCCAUCUAAAGGAUUUUGUUACAGCAGCCUGAGCAGACUAAGACACCCUGUGAGUCAGUUAUUUUUGGCUGUGUCACGAGUGACCGCGAGUGCAGGAGCUGAAACGGCAGUGAGUGGGUUACCAUUUCUCAGGACCCUGCGGAAUUGUGCAUUCAAAAGUGAAACGACUGCCAGAACUCCAGGGCCUGCAAGUUUCUUCCUUCACAUCUAAGCAGAAGGAGAGACUUCACAGUGACGUGCCAGCUAAGUCACGUGCCCACUCCUGCCCAGUCUGUCACGCAAGUAGCAGAGUCCCUGAGAUGAUUGGCUUAGGCCCGAGGUCAGUGCACAUCACCAAACUAGUAAGUGUCCAAGGGGAAUGAAAUU